rnacentral:rRNA from 1 species
AUUGAACGCUGGCGGCAGGCCUAACACAUGCAAGUCGAGCGAGCGGCGGACGGGUGAGUAAUGUCUGGGAAACUGCCCCAUGGAGGGGGAUAACUACUGGAAACGGUAGCUAAUACCGCAUACCAUCAGAUGUGCCCCGAUGGGAUUGGCUAGUAGUUGGGGUAACGGCUCACCUAGGCGACGAUCCCUAGCUGGUCUGAGAGGAUGACCAGCCACACUGGAACUGAUACACGGUCCAGACUCCUACGGGAGGCAGCAGUGGGGAAUAUUGCACAAUGGGCGCAAGCCUGAUGCAGCCAUGCCGCGUGUGUGAAGAAGGCCUUCGGGUUGUAAAGUACUUUCAGCGGGGAGGCGUUACCCGCAGAAGAAGCACCGGCUAACUCCGUGCCAGCAGCCGCGGUAAUAC